rnacentral:rRNA from 1 species
UUAGUAUAAAAUUAUUAUAUUAAUUUUUUAAAAUUAAUUUUAUUUUAUUAUUAAUUAGAAAAAUGAAUUGUUAUUAUAGUUUAUUAGUAAAGUGAUUGGAUUUUAUUAUUAUUAUUAAAGUAAAAUUUAUUUUUUGUACCUUGUGGAUCAGGGUUUAUUAAUUAAUUAUUAAAUAUUUUAAUAUUCUCGAAUUUAUAAGAGUUAACUUAUUAAUUAUUUAAAUGUUGAAUAAUUUUUUAUAAUUUUAAGUUAGAGGUGAGACGUUAUUCGAUUAUAAAUAUAUCUAGUUUUUUAAGAAAUGAAUUAAAUUCUAUUAUUAAUUAUUAAGUUUUAUUUUUUAAAUCUUAGUUUUUAGUAUUUAAUUUUUAAUGGGAUGAGCUUUUAAAAAAAAAAUUAUAAUUUGAAAUUUUAUAAUAUUUAGUAUAAUUUGAAUUGUUAGUCAUUAAUAAAUUAAUAUUUAGGUAUUUUAAUAAAAAAAUUUUUUUAUGUUUAAUUAUUAUAUUAAAAAAAAUCAUUUAAUCAAUCAUGUUUAAUAUAAUGAUAAAAUUAGUAAUAAUAAUUUAAUUUAGUUUGUUUUUUCCAGAUUAAAAAAAGGAAUUAAGCAAAUAUAAUUUUUUGCCUGUUUAUUAAAAACAUGUCUUUUUGAUUAUAAUUUAAGGUUUGAUCUGCUCAAUGAUAGUUUAAAUAGCCGCAGUACUCUGACUGUGCAAAGGUAGCAUAAUAAUUAGUUACUUAAUUAGUAACUUGAAUGAAUGAUUUGACAAGAAAAUUUCUGUCUCUUUUUAAAUUUUAUUGAAUUUAAUUUUUAAGUUAAAAUGCUUAAUUGAGUAUAAAAGACGAGAAGACCCCAUAGAGUUUUAUUUUUAAAAAUUUUAGUAUAAAAUAAAUAAUUAAAAAAUUAGUUGGGGUGACUUAAAGAUUUAAUUAACUCUUUAAAUUUAAAUCAUUAAUUUAUGAAUAAGAAGUCUAAUUAUAUUAAAUUUAAAUAAAAUUACCUUGGGGAUAACAGCGUAAUUCUUUCUAAAGUUCUUAUUAAAUAAAGAGAUUGCGACCUCGAUGUUGGAUUAAAAUUUAUUUUAGGUGCAGGAGCUUAAAAAUUAAGUCUGUUCGACUUUUAAAAUUUUACAUGAUCUGAGUUUAAACCGGUGUAAGCCAGGUUGGUUUCUAUCUUUAUAAAAAUUUAAUAUUUUAGUACGAAAGGACCAAUUAUUAAAUAUAUUAUUUUAAUAAUUAAUAAAAUU